UCCCUGGUGGUCUAGCGGUUAGGAUUUGGCACUCUCACCACAGCAGCCCAGGUUUGAUUCCUGGUUAGGGAA
rfam:Loxodonta africana unplaced genomic scaffold scaffold_3, whole genome shotgun sequence.